ACAUUUUUAGGGACCUUCUAGAAUUAAGAUUUGACACGAAACAAAUUGUUUUCUACGUUAUACUGUCAUUGCUAACGUUGUUGAUCUCGAGCUGCAUCCUCCAUAAUAGUGACUUCAAAUCUGAGGCUGGCUAGAAGAACAUAUCUCUAUCAGCGCCGUUACCCCUCUGGAACAUUGUCAUGCUAGCCACCUGACACUCGGCAUAUCCUCUCCCUCGUGGCAUCCAGCUUUGCUGUAGGGACCAAAAGGUGCUCCAUCACCGGAUUCAUCAUAUUGGAAUCCUCUCUUCUUGUGUGGUUUAGUCAACUUUGUUUUCCUGUAUGGUACAGUUGGGGUCUAGAUCGAAGUCGGCUGAGCUAUUGGGUGGCUCUGAAGAUGUGUUUGUGUUAGAGAUUAGUUUACAUGCAAAGUAAGUUCUUUAAGAAAAGUAUUACUGCGCACCACUCCAAUUUGUUCCUUGAACUGAUAAGAUCUGGUCCAGUAGUACUGCUGCAAAUCCGAGGCAAGACGUUCUGCAUGUUUCUAUUAUCCUGCACAAUAAGCAAGCACAUACACUUCAAAUCAUCCGUUCUCUUGUUCCCCAAAAUAAAUUCAUUCGUUCUAACCAUUAGCCAUAUAAUUGUACAGAUAGACCAUAUAAAUGGGAUUCUUUCUGUAAAUAGAAAUCAACCUGAUUUGAUUAUGUUUCAUGUCCAUAAUAGUUUUCUCUUGGUAGAAAAAACAUAAACAUGUACAUACAGAUUAUAUUCCUGCUCAUUGCAAGAGGAUAUGAGGAUUUCUACUAUUAUACUGACAGAAUGAUAGCAUCACCUCAAGCAUGUAACCGUGGGAGUUAGACUUUCACUAAUGAUUUGAGCAAGUUUCCCGGUGAUCAAACAUUGUACAUCAGAAAUGUUCUUCAUCGAUGCCCAUCCCAAUUGCUAACAAUUCUUUUGCACUCUCAGGUUGCCAAAUAUACUACGAAGGAACUAUAGAAAGUGAAUUGUUGAGUUUGCCAAGCAUAAUGGCACACCUAAUUUUGGCAGAUCAUAUAAAGAGGAUAUCGAGCAAAGAUGCUUUGAGAUUUACCCAUGACUAUAUGCGGUUCCUAUAAACUCCUGUUGCAUGUUUAAUGAUUGCCACAAUAGUUUCUUUUAAUGCACCAGAGAAUUAUAUUUUUUGUAUCAGGUAAAUAAUUCUUUUCUCACUGUUAUUUUUCCAGAUCAAGAUCGAGAUAUAGACAAGGGGUAAUGGCAGCUCGUGCAGUGGCAGAGUGCUGGGGAGGCUGCCGGUGUCGUUGCCGAGCGCUGGGGAGGCUGCUGGUGCCAUGGCCGAGCGAUGGGGCGAGCUGCCGUGGUGGAUGUGGGAGAGCGACCAGUAAGGCAAGACAGAGUUCUGUUGUUGGUUAGGUCCAUGGCGAAGUUCCACGAGAUGGUAUCAGAUUUAUUGGAGGAUAUACAUGAUGACUGCGGCUGAGAAUAAUAUUGCUACUCCUGCAAUUUUGUAUCAUGUGUGAGAGGAUAGAACAGAGAGAAGGAAUAUGAGGCAAUUUUGUUUGCUAUAUGCUUUGUGUGCCGAUGCUUUUGUACGGAGAGAGACACUUCAUGUGAUGUUGCUAUGUGGCCUUCUAUGCUCUGAUGUGUGCUAACUUUGUACAAGGGACAUUCAUAUAUUGGAAUUCAGAUUUGGAGCAAGUUUGUUUGUUUUGCUUUGUA